rfam:TPA: Bos taurus chromosome 19, whole genome shotgun sequence.
UCCCUGGUGGUCCAGUGGCUAAGACUCCAUGCUCCCAAGGCAGGGGUCCCGGGUUCGAUCCCUGGUCAGGGAA